GCCACAGCACCGCAUGGUGCAGGGGUAAAAACUCCGGUGGUGUGAGAUGGGCCCGCGUCUGAUUAGGUAGUUGGUGAGGUAACGGCUCACCAAGCCGACGAUCAGUAGCCGACCUGAGAGGGUGACCGGCCACAUUGGGACUGAGACACGGCCCAAACUCCUACGGGAGGCAGCAGUGGGGAAUAUUGCACAAUGGGGGAAACCCUGAUGCAGCGACGCCGCGUGAGCGAAGAAGUAUUUCGGUAUGUAAAGCUCUAUCAGCAGGGAAGAAAUUGACGGUACCUGACUAAGAAGCACCGGCUAAAUACGUGCCAGCAGCCGCGGUAAUACGUAUGGUGCAAGCGUUAUCCGGAUUUACUGGGUGUAAAGGGAGCGUAGACGGAGCAGCAAGUCUGGAGUGAAAACCCGGGGCUCAACCCCGGGACUGCUUUGGAAACUGUUGUUCUAGAGUGCUGGAGAGGUAAGUGGAAUUCCUAGUGUAGCGGUGAAAUGCGUAGAUAUUAGGAGGAACACCAGUGGCGAAGGCGGCUUACUGGACAGUAACUGACGUUGAGGCUCGAAAGCGUGGGGAGCAAACAGGAUUAGAUACCCUGGUAGUCCAUGCUGUAAACGAUGAUUACUAGGUGUGGGGGGACUGACCCCUUCCGUGCCGCAGU
rnacentral:rRNA from 1 species